AUGUCUCCUGCUCAGCCUCAGACCUGGCUGCUGCUCUGAGGGACAUCCAGAUAUAGGAUGAAAAAAUCGCAGCCAAGAACCUGCAGGAAAUGAAUGAGUGGUACAAAACCAGAUUUACUGACUUUAAUAAAGCUUCCACAAAACAUGCUGAGAAUGUGAGCCAUUUCAGGGAAGGAAUAGGGAAAAGAAGUGCUGUAUUUUGCAACAAGCGAGGUGGAUUGGAGGAGUAGUGACCCUGGAUGUGACCCCAUGUGUCAAAUCAGCAGGAAGUAGCCACAAAUAAUAUUUAUACAUCUGAA